rnacentral:misc_RNA from 1 species
GGAAACUUGAAACGGUUUCAGUCUUCACCAUCACAAUCCAAUUCGUAGAGGAGGAUGACGCACGAGCAAAGAUGAUUUCUUUCUCCACCUUGAAGUCCCCGAGCCUCCGUCCAACGCCACCACCCUCUUCCCUAAAUCAACCUCACCCUAAUCUCAAAUCUCUCCCUCUACCCACCAACACCACCCCCCAAGCCCUUUCCGCAUCAGACCCCGAGCCUCAGCCUCGGAAGCUCAAGGGCAGCUCUCAGCUCAACCGUUGGUCCAGGGCUCGAACAGUCCGCUCUGGCCGUAAAUUGGACCGCUUGGGUCUCCGGACCCAGGUUGCAGAGCUCAACCUCCCAUCUCAACAACCCAAAGAAAGCGAAGUGAACGAAUAUAGCUCUGUAACAUCAGGCAACAGAGAUGAUGAAGCCGUGGAGUUGGAGGUCACUGGUGGGAAGUCCAUUUACAUGGUUUCUGACGGCACUGGAUGGACGGUGGAGCACUCCGUUAACGCUGCCUUGGGGCAGUUCGAGCACUGCUUGGUCGAUCGUGGUUGUCCUGUAAAUACUCAUCUGUUUUCAGGGAUAGAUGAUAUAGAAACGUUAAUGGAGAUAAUAAAACAAGCAGCUAAAGAAGGUGCAAUGGUAGUCUACACUCUAGCUGAUCCUUCCAUGGCUGAAUCAGCUAGACAAGCCUGCAAGUUAUGGGGAAUACCAUCUACUGACAUACUGGGUCCAAUAACAGAGGCAGUUGCUUCUCAUCUGGGCGUCUCGCCCUCUGGUCUACCCCGUGGAGCUCCUGGCAGGAACUUUCCCCUUUCUGAUGAAUACUUUCGACGUAUUGAAGCCAUUGAAUUCACCAUCAAGCAAGAUGACGGUGCCCUGCCUCAGAACUUGUACAAGGCUGACAUUGUUCUUGCCGGUGUUUCUCGUACUGGAAAGACACCGUUGUCAAUUUACCUAGCUCAGAAAGGAUACAAAGUGGCAAAUGUGCCUAUUGUGAUGGGUGUAGAAUUGCCAAAGAGCCUCUUUGAGGUUGACUCAGAGAAGGUUUUUGGUCUUACCAUUAAUCCUGUGGUUUUACAGGCGAUCAGAAAAGCAAGAGCUAGAAGUCUUGGGUUCAGCCAAGAAGUGAGGAGUAAUUAUUCUGAGAUGGACUAUGUGAGAGAGGAGUUGGAAUGUGCUUGCAGGGUUUUUGCACAAAAUCCUGUCUGGCCAGUAAUCGGUAAUGUGCUUCAAUUUCAAAUGUUUUCUAUUGCCUUUGUAUUAUGUAGCAAUGGCUUGUCUACUAUCUAAAAUGUUUAAUAUAGACAUUGACAUCCUACCAAAAAGUUUUGGGAAUGGGGAAAAAAAAAGAUAUAAUAUGGGAAGUGAUGUGCAAUUGACUGAAUCUUGGUCAUACUGUUAUUUGUUUGUCAUAUGCAGAAGUGACAGGGAAAGCAAUAGAAGAAACUGCAGCAGUUAUAUUAAGGCUUUAUCAUGAUCGAAAGCACAAAUGUUCAAUGCCGCGAAUCUCCAAACUUUACUAGUAUGGGAAGUCAGGUGUUCAGGGAUGACUUGCUGAAACAGUGUAAGAGGAAGCUGUUAUUGGACCUACCUCAAAUUGUUAAUAAUCAAGGAAUACGGUGCAGGAAGAGGGUACAGCUCUUCUGCUUAAUGUUUAUAAUGUAAAUGUCAUAUUCCUACGAUAAUUCUCCUCCUUAUUAGCCAUAUUAUAAAUCAAUGUAAACAGCCAUACAUUGCCUCUGCUGAAGACAGGUCUUUCUUUUGGAUUCAACUGGAUACAUGAAUUACUUAAAGACAUGUUAAUCUGUAAUGAACUUCGAUACAUUGGAGUUGCGUGUAAUGAGAUGAUUCAGAAAAUUAUCCAAGAAAAACAGCUUUGAUCAAGGCAAAUAUUAAUUGCAUCCAUGAAAGGUGCAUCAUCACUAUAGCCUUGCCUGUUGAUUGCCGGAAGAGCCUGUGUACUUGCUUAGUCUUUGCUUCAGAUAUCGAAGUUUCAUUUUUUAUUUUAUGAAAUUUUUCUGCCUUGUCCCUAAUCAAUUAUUCAGCGUGUGUUUGCUUGCUAUGCUGAAACUUGGAAGAUCUUCCUGCAUUUUCUUUCUUUUCUUGUUUCUUUCUUUCUUUUAUUUUAUUUAUUUAUUUGUCUUUGUAAAGUUAGUACAACAUGACCUAAAAACAU